CCUACGGGUGGCAGCAGUGAGGAAUAUUGGUCAAUGGGCGAGAGCCUGAACCAGCCAAGUAGCGUGAAGGAUGACUGCCCUACGGGUUGUAAACUUCUUUUGUAAAGGAAUAAAGUGCGGCACGUGUGCCUUUUUGUAUGUACUUUAUGAAUAAGGAUCGGCUAACUCCGUGCCAGCAGCCGCGGUAAUACGGAGGAUCCGAGCGUUAUCCGGAUUUAUUGGGUUUAAAGGGCGCGUAGAUGGGUUGUUAAGUCAGUUGUGAAAGUUUGCGGCUCAACCGUAAAAUUGCAAUUGAUACUGGCAGUCUUGAGUACAGGUGAGGUAGGCGGAAUGCGUGGUGUAGCGGUGAAAUGCAUAGAUAUCACGAAGAACUCCGAUUGCGAAGGCAGCGUACUAAACUGCCACUGACAUUGAUGCUCGAAAGUGUGGGUAUCAAACAGGAUUAGAUACCCGGGUAGUC
rnacentral:rRNA from 1 species